CCUUCGGGUGGCUGCAGUGAGGAAUAUUGGUCAAUGGACGAGAGUCUGAACCAGCCAAGUAGCGUGAAGGAUGACUGCCCUAUGGGUUGUAAACUUCUUUUAUAUGGGAAUAAAAUGUUCCACGUGUGGGAUUUUGUAUGUACCAUAUGAAUAAGGAUCGGCGAACUCCGUGCCAGCAGCCGCGGUAAUACGGAGGAUCCGAGCGUUAUCCGGAUUUAGUGGGUUUAAAGGGAGCGUAGGUGGAUGGUUAAGGCAGUUGUGAAAGUUUGAGGCUCAACCGUAAAAUUGCAGUUGAAACUGUCAGUCUUGAGUACAGUAGAGGUGAGCGGAAUUCGUGGUGUAGCGGUGAAAUGCUUAGAUAUCACGAAGAACUCCGAUUGCGAAGGCAGUUCACUGGACUGCAACUGACACUGAGGCUCGAAAGUGUGGGUAUCAAACAGGAUUAGAUACCCUGGUAGUC
rnacentral:rRNA from 1 species